GACGAACGCUGGCGGCGUGCUUAACACAUGCAAGUCGAACGGUAAGGCCCUUCGGGGUACACGAGUGGCGAACGGGUGAGUAACACGUGGGUGAUCUGCCCUGCACUUCGGGAUAAGCCUGGGAAACUGGGUCUAAUACCGGAUAGGACUCCGGACUGCAUGGUCUGGGGUGGAAAGCUUUUGCGGUGUGGGAUGGGCCCGCGGCCUAUCAGCUUGUUGGUGGGGUGAUGGCCUACCAAGGCGACGACGGGUAGCCGGCCUGAGAGGGUGACCGGCCACACUGGGACUGAGAUACGGCCCAGACUCCUACGGGAGGCAGCAGUGGGGAAUAUUGCACAAUGGGCGCAAGCCUGAUGCAGCGACGCCGCGUGAGGGAUGACGGCCUUCGGGUUGUAAACCUCUUUCAGUAGGGACGAAGCGAAAGUGACGGUACCUAAAGAAGAAGCACCGGCUAACUACGUGCCAGCCGCCGCGGUAA
rnacentral:rRNA from 1 species